UACGAAGGGGGCUAGCGUUGCUCGGAAUCACUGGGCGUAAAGCGCACGUAGGCGGCUUGUUAAGUCAGGGGUGAAAUCCUGGAGCUCAACUCCAGAACUGCCCUUGAUACUGAGAGGCUCGAGUCCGGGAGAGGUGAGUGGAACUCCGAGUGUAGAGGUGAAAUUCGUAGAUAUUCGGAAGAACACCAGUGGCGAAGGCGGCUCACUGGCCCGGUACUGACGCUGAGGUGCGAAAGCGUGGGGAGCAAACAGG
rnacentral:rRNA from 1 species